rnacentral:pre_miRNA from 1 species
UAGGGUGACCAACAGUCAUGGUAUGCCUGGGACUAAGGGGGUUCCUGGGAUGUAGCUUUGAGCACUAAAACUGGGAAAGUCCCAGGCACACUAGGAGAGUUGGUCACCCUACCAGUGU